AGUGCCGUUGAUACUGUGAGGCUAGGAUUUGGUUGCUGUGGGUGGAAUGUGUGGUGUAGCGGUGAAAUGCUUAGAGAUCACACAGAAUAUCGAUUGCGAAGGCAGCUCACAAAGCCAAGAUUGACGCUGAGGCACGAAAGUGUGGGGAUCAAACAGGAUUAGAUACCCUGGUAGUCCACACUGUAAACGAUGAUAACUCGCUGUCGGCGAUAUACAGUCGGUGGCCAAGCGAAAGCGAUAAGUUAUCCACCUGGGGAGUACGACCGCAAGGUUGAAACUCAAAGGAAUUGACGGGGGCCCGCACAAGCGGAGGAACAUGUGGUUUAAUUCGAUGAUACGCGAGGAACCUUACCCGGGCUCGAACGGUGCAGGAAUAUGGUAGAGAUAUCAUAGCUAGCAAUAGUCUGUAUCGAGGUGCUGCGUGGUUGUCGUCAGCUCGUGCCGUGAGGUGUCGGCUUAAGUGCCAUAACGAGCGCACCCCUUGUCAUUAGUCCCAUCAGGUCACGCUGGGGACUCUAAUGAGACUGCCACCGUAAGGUGAGAGGAAGGGGGGGAUGACGUCAAAUCAGCACGGCCCUUAUGUCCGGGGCGACACACGUGUUACAAUGGGGGGGUACAGAGGGCAGCCAUCCGGCGACGGAGCCCAAUCCUCAAAACCCUUCCUCAGUUCGGAUUGGGAGUCUGCAACCCGA
rnacentral:rRNA from 1 species